GAGGAUCGUCCCGUGUGCACGACGCCGAAUUCCAACUGUUCACCCUCUCUUUCGUUUGGAUGGCGUGUACGUGUGCCCGCCUCCUCCCUUCCCUUGCCACGUAUCACACACGCGCACAUACAUGGUAGGGAGGCGCGGCAGUUCUCUAUCUAGCCUUUCCCGCCUCCUCAUGAAACGAGGGACUCUCAACCAGGAAGUGAGCUGCGUCGUUGCUCUUCCCACACUGCUCUAUCCAUCCCUGCUGCAUCGCAAGGGAGGGACAACAGGCAUUAGCAGCACCACAUCUGGCCUCAGCGGCUAUGGGGGCGGAGCUGCAGCAGGCCAGGGCGCACCCCGGGAAGUGGUAGUGUCUGGCUUGAUACUGGAGGUGCGUCGGCUGUGGCAGCCGCCACUGCCUACUACUGCCUCCUCGUCUGACACAGAUGCCACGCCUCCGAGCGCCUCGCCGUACAGCGCCACUCCUUCCACGACGGAGAGGGACUCGCAUCUGAUCCAGCGCGCUAUCACGUCAAGUGCUGCCGUGAUAGAUAAAGAAGCGGCAGCCGGGGCAGACGCCAAGGACGCCGGCGCGUCUCUGUACGCCUUCGUGCGUGUUAAGGAGGUGGACCACCGACUCAGCGCGUGGUUUCAUGCAGACGACGUCUACGUAAAGAUGGCAGUCGCGCAGUCAGCGUUCGGGAACGCUGCCGAGGAAUCAGCGGUGCUUUUAUCCGCACCUGACACGGCUGCAGCACCGUAUGGACUGGCGGAUGGCAUGAUCCAGCUUUCUCGCGUCCUGCACCGCCCAUGGCUCAGCUGUGUGUACAUGGAGGUGACUCCUGGCAUGGCCCGCACCCAACGCGCGCGCCGUCAGCUCGACUACCUUGAGGAGCGGCUCCUGCGCGACUGCCGCACCCCGACCACGGUGCGCUACUUUGUGUAUCUGAACACGUACGUGUUUGCCCCGUGGUACUACGCGCCGUUUGGCUUGCUGAACAGCGAGUAUGACCCGAUGCUGCCGUGGACGGGGGCGGCUGACGCGUCGACGGGCGCGAUCCCAGCUGGCGAAGGUGCCGACGCCACCGGCUCGUCGGUCGACGUGCAGCAGCAGCCUUUCAUCCGGGACGCUUUUCUGUGCCCCUUCUCCCUCCGCAUCUACUCGACCUACGCCCAGAUGCACUACGAGACCCGCACCUACCGCGCGGGCCGCCUGCGUCCGCCGGGCGAGGAGGUGUACCGCGACGAGGUGCGUGGCCUUUCCCUCUUCAAGAUCAACGGUAGUCAGCACGUCACCUACUGCCGCCACCUCUUCCUCAUCGGUAAAUCGUUUCUGGAGAACAAGCUCGCCGGGCACGACGUCCACAACUACUACUUCUACGUGGUGUGUCUGCACCACCGCUACUUCCCUGACUACGUGUCAGACACCUCCGCCAUGUACUUCGCUGGCUUCUUCACCUGGGAGAAACAUGUGAGCGAGUACAACCUGGCCUGUAUUGCGACGUUGCCGUGCUUUGGGCGCCGUUCCAGCCGCCAGAGACCGGUGGCACCGCCGGACGGCUCAACCGCGGCCGCCUCGCACCCGCCUAGGGUGCCUCGCCAUCUUGGCCAGUUCAUGAUCGCCGCCAGCUACGAACUCGCCUACCGCCGCAAGCAGACGGGCACCCCGGAGAAGCCCCUCUCCGACUUGGGUGCCGUCGCGUAUCAGCACUUUUGGCGCCGCGCCAUUGUGCGCUGGAUGAAGGACACGCUGAACGCGAUGCGGCGGGCCGCUGCGGUUUGCGUCGACGAUGACGAUGUGGACAAGACCGACCGGAAAGGUGCACAAGCUGGCGGGCAGGUUGGGCCACGAUUUAGCCACGCAUCAGGCAAGGGCGCACCUCUCGCCCCUGACGCGGACUCUGCGGCCGCGGAGGUGGUCGUGCUUGCGACGGAGGACAGGACGGUUUCAGGAGAGCACGAUGCCGAUAGCCGUCGCUCCGGCGAAGGGAAAGCGACAUUGCACGAGCAGCGCUCGAAAGCGCCACCAUCAGCGCGCAAGCGUUCCCGCACCGACGCAAAGACGGAACACGAGAGGGAUGUGGACGGCGACGAGGAGGCACGACUGCCCUCUUCCCACGGCAAGUUGCCACUCGCGGCUACCGCCCCUCUGUCUUCGACCAAGAGGGGAGUGUUAGGCGUCAGCGCAGCUGCACCGUCCCCGGCGGGCACCUCAUCGACUGCUGACGCGGCUGCUUUUACGCAGCGGACCACCAUCAAGGACAUUGCGGCGGCUGUGCGCCUGGAGGAAGCUGACGUGCUCAGGACGCUGCUGGGCAUGGGUGUGCUGCAUCGCAGCAGUGAGGACCGUGGUAUUCAGCUUCUGCUGCCGCAGCGGUACGUGGAUUGGAUGUACGACGAGAUGCUCCGCUGGGACAGCAGCGUCGAGCACGCCGUCUUUCAGCCAGCCCUCCUCAAGUCCCGCGGUUCUCACACCAGCACACGCUGACGGUCCCUGCACUUUCUCUCUCUCGUUCCUCACAUUCCCUCCUCAACCCCGUCGCCAGGGUGGUGGGGGCGGUCCGCUCAAGAGCGUCGUCGUCGUCUGCGGCGGGGGGGGUGAGCGCCCUCAUGUUUGUUUGUCCCUUGCUCCACAC
rnacentral:misc_RNA from 1 species